GGCCUGGGGAUGGGAGGACCAACACAGGAGCCUGAGUUUGUUCAUGAUGCUUCCCACGCUUCAG
rnacentral:miRNA from 1 species